CCACCCAUCCUCAUCCCCGGAGCAAAGGAAGCACACGAACUCUAGGAGGACAUUGCAGGACCAUCUGGAACACAGCAGACCCUGCCCCUCACCACUUCAGCUGAGCCUUUAUCUUCUUCAAGCGAAAAUGGAUAAGAAGAUGAGUUGUAUCAGCCACUCCCAGGCAUCUACGGUGAGCC